UACGAAGGGGGCUAGCGUUGCUCGGAAUCACUGGGCGUAAAGCGCACGUAGGCGGCUUUCUAAGUCAGGGGUGAAAUCCCGGAGCUCAACUCCGGAACUGCCUUUGAUACUGGCGAUCUUGAGUCCGGGAGAGGUGAGUGGAACUCCGAGUGUAGAGGUGAAAUUCGUAGAUAUUCGGAAGAACACCAGUGGCGAAGGCGGCUCACUGGCCCGGUACUGACGCUGAUGUGCGAAAGCGUGGGGAGCAAACAGG
rnacentral:rRNA from 1 species